CCUACGGGUGGCAGCAGUGAGGAAUAUUGGUCAAUGGCCGUAAGGCUGAACCAGCCAAGUAGCGUGAGGGAAGACUGCCCUAUGGGUUGUAAACCUCUUUUAUGCGGGGAUAAAGGUGUCCACGUGUGGCUGUUUGCAGGUACCGCAUGAAUAAGGACCGGCUAAUUCCGUGCCAGCAGCCGCGGUAAUACGGAAGGUCCGGGCGUUAUCCGGAUUUAUUGGGUUUAAAGGGAGCGUAGGCCGGUCUUUAAGCGUGCCGUGAAAUUUUGUGGCUCAACCAUGAGAGUGCGGUGCGUACUGGAGGCCUUGAGUGCGCGGAAGGCAGGCGGAAUUCGUGGUGUAGCGGUGAAAUGCUUAGAUAUCACGAAGAACUCCGAUUGCGAAGGCAGCAUACCGGCGCUCAACUGACGCUCAUGCACGAAAGCGUGGGUAUCGAACAGGAUUAGAUACCCGAGUAGUC
rnacentral:rRNA from 1 species